UAUAUUUUAAUGUAAGGUGCAUAUAAAUUUUUGAAAUUUGAAGGAAUAGUUUAAUUCUAUUAGAUAUAA
rnacentral:tRNA from 1 species